rnacentral:rRNA from 1 species
UACGAAGGGGGCUAGCGUUGCUCGGAAUCACUGGGCGUAAAGGGUGCGUAGGCGGGUUUCUAAGUCAGAGGUGAAAGCCUGGAGCUCAACUCCAGAACUGCCUUUGAUACUGGAAGUCGUUGAGUAUGGCAGAGGUGAGUGGAACUGCGAGUGUAAGAGGUGAAAUUCGUAGAUAUUCGCAAGAACACCAGUGGCGAAGGCGGCUCACUGGGCCAUUACUGACGCUGAGGCACGAAAGCGUGGGGAGCAAACAGG